UUCACGACAAUGGUUUGAACGAGCUGGCUUGAUUCGCCUUUUUGAUCUGUGUUCUCUCUUCAUCCGAGCAUAGUUUCUGGGAGGUGCAAGGACCUGAGUCAUUCAUUUGGAUUAUUGUUGCGUCAUCAGGAGAGCGCAUGACAGGGAUUUAAGAUAUCUGGAAUCUAACCUCUGCUGGCUGUCUUUAUUGUGGGGCUACAUUUUGACUAUGGUUUAAAGGAUAUUACGAAGAUGAAUUAUUAUGAAAACAAAAUGAAAUUAUCAGUCUCUCCAGAGAUGUUUGCUCUGUAAAUACAAAAACAAAACAAAACAACACAACCCUGACUCUCAAGAACUCUGUGGUCUUCAUAGCUGUGCCUGGAGGGUAGGUAAGUAAGUAAUUUCUCAAUGAAUGAGGUGUUUUGAAAUUCCUUCCAGAGAAGUCUAACAUUUAUUUUAAAUUCAUUUGUAGGCUGAAGAAGCCUGGAAUCAUUCCAGCUGGUUCUUGCUCUGCAGGUAAAUAUUUCUAUGAAUUAACAAGUUGUUUUAGGCUGGUUAUUCACAGAUUUGGCAGUUAUGCUGCAUUGUUCUUGAGUUACCUUUAUCUUAUAUCUUUGGAACCCCUGUAAUAUUGUAGGUCCCAAUGCUUAAUCUGAGUCAGAACAUGUCCUUUAGUCAUAUGCAGAAUACUAAACUGGGAGAAACAAUCUACCUGUUCAGAAAGGACACAGAGUGUGAACUUGUUAAGACGUUUAGUAGGUGUUUCCAGAUUGCUUGGUGACAA